UACGUAGGGUGCGAGCGUUAAUCGGAAUUACUGGGCGUAAAGCGUGCGCAGGCGGUCCGUUGUGUCCGAUGUGAAAGCCCCGGGCUUAACCUGGGAAUGGCAUUGGAAACUGGCGGGCUUGAGUGUGGCAGAGGGGGGUGGAAUUCCGCGUGUAGCAGUGAAAUGCGUAGAGAUGCGGAGGAACACCGAUGGCGAAGGCAGCCCCCUGGGCCAACACUGACGCUCAGGCACGAAAGCGUGGGGAGCAAACAGG
rnacentral:rRNA from 1 species